UACAAGACUACCUUGUGGAUUGCUUCUUAUUUUUAUUUUCUUCUCAUCGCGUGUGGUUAGUUUUCUAUGGUAAUCAAAUUAGCUUUCUUUAUUUUUGCGUUCAUUAUUAGCUUUGGUACAGGUUUUCUAUUUGGACUACAGUCAAGAGUGAAGUCCUAAUUUUGUUUCGAAUGGAGAAGCAUACAGGUUGACUAAGCCUCUGUAUUACAGCUGCAUCAAGGGCAUCAAGGGUAUUCGUCAAUCUGGAUAUCCAGCAAGUGCAUGAAUUUCAGGUGUUAUUCCAUUGAAGUUAAUAAAAUAGAUCUGGAGGAAGAACAAAAUCCAUGAAAACAUAGCGUCUUUGUUUGAAGUGACUAAGAAGCUACAUUACGGCACAUAAGAAACACCGGAUGCUACUGUGAAGCAAAGAUUGGUGAACUGCUAAAUUAUGAAGAUCGGUAUUACAUGGCCUGCAGAACUAGCAACAAGAAAGUAGAAUAUGUGGGCAAUCAUAGUUCUUGCAGCAAAUAUUGCAGAGAGUACCUGGGAAAUGUUUUGUGUGCACAAGUGUAUUUAUACAUCUUGAUGGUCGUGGUAUCUUUCGAGGUGAUUGGGGUCAUUGGUAUACAUGUAAGGUAAUUGAAGUGUUUGUAGAUGAGAUGUCACCAAUCUGUAGCUCAUCAGUCAAUGACUCAUUCAUGAUCUGACUAACUAAAAUUCUAAUGCAAGCUUAUACUAAAUUCAAGUCUUAAGUUAAAACGUUUUAAAUUUAAAUAGAGGUUAAGACUGUUGUUUAUGUGUAAGGUAAUGAAUUUCUAUAAAAUGUAAAGACUAAACUUAAA